rnacentral:rRNA from 1 species
CCUGGGCCUGCACUGACGCUCAUGCACGAAAGCGUGGGGAGCAAACAGGAUUAGAUACCCUGGUAGUCCACGCCGUAAACGAUGUCUACUAGCCGUUGGGGUACUUGAGACCUUAGUGGCGCAGCUAACGCACUAAGUAGACCGCCUGGGGAGUACGGCCGCAAGGUUAAAACUCAAAUGAAUUGACGGGGGCCCGCACAAGCGGUGGAGCAUGUGGUUUAAUUCGAUGCAACGCGAAGAACCUUACCAGGUCUUGACAUCC